CAGGAAUGUUCCCGGCACUACACUUACAUGGGCCCUGCUCGAACUUCUCUCUCUCUGCCCUAUUUGCUUGCACACAGUCUAUUUCUGCCACAGACACUCUCCAAAGUGUCUCCCAACGCUGCCUCCUCUCCUGUUCCCCGCCCCUGCCGCUCCCUCCAGAAGAGAGGAACAGCCCUAGGAAACCCUCACAGCUGGAAGGGACAAGGGAAGAUGGCAAUGAGUUUAUGCAGCCUACACACACACACACACCACACACAGACACACACACCACACACACACACCACAUACAGACACACCACAUAUACACACACCACACACACACCACACACACACACACACACACACCACACACACACCCCAUAUAUACACACACCACACACGCACAUCAUACACACACCACACACAUACCACAUAUACACACACCACACACACACACACCACACACACACACACACCACAUACAUACCACAUAUACACACACCACACACACACCACACACACACACCAUAUAUACACACACCACACACGCACAUCAUACACACACCACACACAUACCACAUAUACACACACCACACACACCACACACACACACACCACACACACACCUCAUAUACACACACCACACACAUCACACACACACCACAUAUACAUACCACAUAUACACACACCAUACACAUCACACACACACCACAUAUACACAUACCACACACACCACACACACACACCCCACACACAUACCACACACCACAUACACCACACACACACACACCAUAUAUACACAACCACACACGCACAUCAUACACACACCACACACAUACCACAUAUACACACACCACACACACAUCACACACACACCACACACACACACACCACACACACACCUCAUAUACACACACCACACACAUCACACACACACCACAUAUACACACCACAUAUACACACACCAUACACAUCACACACACACCACAUAUACACAUACCACACACACAUACACACACCACACACACACACCACACACAUACCACACACACACAUACACCACACACACCACAUACACCACACACACACACAUGCACCACAAACACAUACACCACACACACACACACACACACACACACACACACACAUACUAUGUUCUGCUUUCCAUGGCGUGAGGUUGGCUGUGGCUGGAUCAGCUCGGUUUUCUGAGGUGGUUAACCAAGAGUCUGCAACACUUCCCCCCUCGAUUUAAAUUCAAGAGGAGCAAACAAGCACUCCCUUUGGAGACAAAGAGUGGAGAGCUGACACUGAUGCAGAACAGCAGGCUUCUGAACCAAGGCGGGUGGUGGGUGUCUCCCUGAGCCUGCCAGAGGACACUUUUCCAUCUUGAGGCUGAGUUUCAAGCUUUUUUUCUCUUCUAAAUUGGUAUUUAUUUAUUUGGCUGUGCCAGGUCUUAGUUGCUGCAGGCAGGCUCUAGUUCUCUGACCAUAAUGGAACCCAGGUCCCCGGCAUUGGGAGCACAGAGUCUUAGCCACUGGACCACCAGGGAAGUUCCUCUAAGCAUCAUUAGCAUGUCUAAUGGAAUUAUUAGCAUUCCUCUA
ensembl:lncRNA